ACUCCUACGGGAGGCAGCAGUGGGGAAUAUUGCACAAUGGGCGCAAGCCUGAUGCAGCCAUGCCGCGUGUAUGAAGAAGGCCUUCGGUUGUAAAGUAACUUUCUAGCAGUGAGGAAGGUGGAGUCGUUAAUAGCGGCCUCAUUUGACGUUAGCUGCAGAAGAAGCACCGGCUAACUCCGUGCCAGCAGCCGCGGUAAUACGGAGGGUGCGAGCGUUAAUCGGAAUUACUGGGCGUAAAGCGCAUGCAGGUGGUUUGUUAAGUCAGAUGUGAAAGCCCGGGGCGUCAACCUCGGAAUUGCAUUUGAAACUGGCAGGCUAGAGUCUUGUAGAGGGGGGUAGAAUUUCAGGUGUAGCGGUGAAAUGCGUAGAGAUCUGAAGGAAUACCAGUGGCGAAGGCGGCCCCCUGGACAAAGACUGACGCUCAGAUGCGAAAGCGUGGGGAGCAAACAGGAUUAGA
rnacentral:rRNA from 1 species